rnacentral:rRNA from 1 species
CUGCGAAAGCCGGAUUAAUACCGCAUACGCUCUAUGGAGGAAAGCGGGGGACUCGCAAGGGCCUCGCGCUCAAGGGGCGGCCGAUGGCGGAUUAGCUAGUUGGUGGGGUAAAGGCCUACCAAGGCGACGAUCCGUAGCUGGUCUGAGAGGACGACCAGCCACACUGGGACUGAGACACGGCCCAGACUCCUACGGGAGGCAGCAGUGGGGAAUUUUGGACAAUGGGGGCAACCCUGAUCCAGCAAUGCCGCGUGUGUGAAGAAGGCCUUCGGGUUGUAAAGCACUUUUGUCCGGAAAGAAAACCUGCCUGUUAAUACCGGGUGGGGCUGACGGUACCGGAAGAAUAAGCACCGGCUAACUACGUGCCAGCAGCCGCGGUAAUACGUAGGGUGCGAGCGUUAAUCGGAAUUACUGGGCGUAAAGCGUGCGCAGGCGGUUUGCUAAGACCGAUGUGAAAUCCCCGGGCUUAACCUGGGAACUGCAUUGGUGACUGGCAAGCUAGAGUAUGGCA